GCCCGGGUGGCGGAAUUGGUAGACGCGGUGGAUUCAAAAUCCAUUGUCAGUGAUGACGUGCGAGUUCAAGUCUCGCCCCGGGCACCA
rnacentral:tRNA from 2 species